rnacentral:rRNA from 1 species
UACGGGGGGGGCAAGCGUUGUUCGGAAUUACUGGGCGUAAAGGGCUCGUAGGCGGCCAACUAAGUCCGACGUGAAAUCCCAAGGCUUAACCUUGGAACUGCGUCGGAUACUGGAUGGCUUGAAUUCGGGAGAGGGAUGCAGAAUUCCAGGUGUAGCGGUGAAAUGCGUAGAUAUCUGGAGGAAUACCGGUGGCGAAGGCGGCAUCCUGGACCGACAUUGACGCUGAUGAGCGAAAGCGAGGGGAGCAAACGGG